GUGACGUUACCAAACUGUUGCCUCGGCGGGAUCUCUGCCCCGGGUGCGUCGCAGCCCCGGACCAAGGCGCCCGCCGGAGGACCAACCAAAACUCUUUUUGUAUACCCCCUCGCGGGUUUUUUAUAAUCUGAGCCUUCUCGGCGCCUCUCGUAGGCGUUUCGAAAAUGAAUCAAAACUUUCAACAACGGAUCUCUUGGUUCUGGCAUCGAUGAAGAACGCAGCGAAAUGCGAUAAGUAAUGUGAAUUGCAGAAUUCAGUGAAUCAUCGAAUCUUUGAACGCACAUUGCGCCCGCCAGUAUUCUGGCGGGCAUGCCUGUCCGAGCGUCAUUUCAACCCUCGAACCCCUCCGGGGGGUCGGCGUUGGGGAUCGGCCCUCCCUUAGCGGGGGCCGUCUCCGAAAUACAGUGGCGGUCUCGCCGCAGCCUCUCCUGCGCAGUAGUUUGCACACUCGCAUCGGGAGCGCGGCGCGUCCACAGCCGUUAAACACCCAACUUCUGAAAUGUUGACCUCGGAUCAGGUAGGAAUACCCGCUGAACUUAAGCAUAU
rnacentral:rRNA from 1 species